AUGGUGCUCGGCGGCUGCGGCAACGGAGGUGAUGGUGCGCGAGCCAACCAGUUCAACGGAGGCAGGAGCACGGGGCAGCGGCAGCAGCAUGGAGGGUGUCCUCUUGGUUGGGAAGGUAAUGGAAAUGCAAAUAGGAGUGGUAGUGGCAACCAUGAUGCAAAUCCAAAUGAUUCCGAAAAAUCUUGGAAAGGAAUUAAAGAUAAUAACUUGUAUGAUCCUUGGAACCAUGCAUGGCCGUAUUAUGGGGGUUUUGAUUGUGUGUACUGCAGCCUAAAGCACAAAGGUGGAGGUGCAACCCGUGUUGCGGAGCACCUUGGUGGUAUUGUAGGUAAUGUGAGGAGCUGCCCCAAUGUGCCAAGAAAUGUGAGAGAUGCAAUGAGAGAGUGCCGGGAUGAAUCAAAGAGGAAGAAAAGAGACAAACAAAAUAGCAGGCUGAGAAUUGAAAGAAAUAUUAUGGAAGGGUUGUAUCAAAAAGGAGGGGUGAUUAACAUACUAGAUGAUGAAGAAGAAGAAAUACAGAUGAAUAUUAGAGAGGCCUUGCGUGACCCGAGUGUCUCCCACAGAGUUGAAAGGAGGAUUGGUAGGGGGGGCGUGGGUGAUGUGCGGGUUUCUGUUGGCAAAAGGAGUAUCACUGCCUAUUUUGACAAACAAUUAUCCAGCAACAAAGUAUCUAUGCGGCCCAAGAUCACUAGUGCUUUGGAUCCUAAUUCAAGAGAUGCACUUGGCCUAGCUUGGUCCAAGUUUUUUCAUGCCAAUGAUAUUGCUGGACGUAAAGCUGAUUGCCCAUACUUCCGAGCUGCUGUGAAGAUCACUCAACAAUUAGGGCCUGCUCCUAUACCAACCGCGAAGGAGAUUGAUGGGAAAUAUUUGGAGGCUAACUAUGAUGAAGCUACUUCCUUUCUUCAAAAAUUUAAACAAGAUUGGAAAAACUUCGGUGUGACUCUUAUGUGUGACUCUUGGACUGGUCCAACAGGAAUGAGCCUCAUAAACUUCAUGGUAUAUUGUAAUACACGAAUGUUCUUCCUCAAUACCAUGAUGAGGAGAAUGAGUAUGUCGAAACUGAGAGUGAGGAUGACGACGAAGAUAAUGAGUAUGUUGAUAAUGAGAGUGAGGAUGAUGAUGGGGUGA
rnacentral:rRNA from 1 species